GUCACACCCUGACCUAACCAAAAUAAUAAAGAAAACAUAGAAUACUAAAGUCAGGGCGUGACAGCAACGCUAGCUUGCAACAAUCAGUGGUGUCAACAACACCUCAUAAGAUAAGGAAGUACAUUGUUUAUGAGGAUUGCCUGCUGUAGUUGCUCAAGAAAUGUCCAGUUUGCAGCCGAACGUGCAGCAUAGUGAAGACCAGCAAGGGGACCCUCAACAUCACACAGACAUGCCCUCGCCUAUGAGCAGUCCUAUAAAUGGAACAGGGAGGAUACUUGAAUCAGUAUCUUUGAAGAGGAGUCAGGAGCUGAUCUACGCUGCCAUGUCUGUCAAUGGGGUGCAGGCAAUGACCUUACCUCUAGUCUCUCCUCUUGUCUGCUCACCAACGGUUGUCGAUGGAGAGACCUGAAUUAGAUGCAUCUAUGGAGUCAGCAUUUGGAGACUUGGUCCGGACCAACAGACAGGCUUGAUACUGACGUCUCUGAAUGGGAAGAGACCUGGCACUCAAGGCAUCCACACUGUGGGACUGAAGGUGAUUACUAAUAAUGCAGUCCAGAAGAAAUGUCCAUUAUUUGCGUCACCCUUUUUAUUAUGUGUCACUGAUGAACUCCGCCUCAACUUGACCUAUUUCUACAAAUGGAGAGGACUGUGGAUGCUUUUGCCAGAUGCCAGCCUUGUUCGUUUGAUGGGGAGACCAUAAUAGGAAAGGUUUUAUCUGACCUGUUCAAACUUCAACUAGUACCUGUUUGUGUGUAAAAUAUUACCUAUCCUAACUGCCAUUGGUAAUAGAACAAUGACUAUGUGUGUAUGUGUUCAUAGAAACAUGUAUGGAGACUUGUAAGAUGAUGUGAUGAAGUCCAGACUGACAGACUGAUGUCUCUAAAUGGAGAGAGACCUGGCACUCGGCAUUCACAUUUUACUAGACACAGCUUUUACUUGUGUUGUCUUUUUUUUAAAUGAUUGAAUUGGAAUGUCAGUCAAUAUGAGACGAGAAAAACACUGUAUUCUGCACCAAGAUCAGGGAACUCCUGUUGUAUACGGGACACCACACUGGAAGGUAUGACCACUCUGACAUGUUAGCCAAGGUAGCCCCAUUACCACCAGACAAAAUGUCAUUAGGCACGAUAUCUGUAUCAUUGCUAUAUUAGCUGAACACUGCUUCUACGGUAUUAUGUAAAAGUUGUUGGAACUGUUACUACAUUUGAAAGUUAUCAAAACACUUCAUUUAGAAUAUCUACGUAAAUUCUGCAAUUGCAUUCUUCUCAUAUUACUCUGUAGGUCAGUGGUUCCCAACCUUUUCGGUUACUGUACUACCAACAGAAUUUUGCUCUUCCCGGAGUACCCUUGAAGUACCCCUCAUAUGCAUUUGACCUGGUCUCAUGAGUCUUCUCAAGUACUACCUAUGGAUAGGCCGAGUACCCCCAUGGGUCCUAGUACCCCUGGUUGGGAACCACUGCUGUAGGCUACUGACCUAUUCGAAGCUUCCUCUGUCAUCUCACCAUACAUCUGUCAGUAGUUAUUGAACUCAAACUACAGGAGAUUUGUUUGUUGUGAUUGAGUGGGGAAAAAUAAAUGCAGGAAAUGUUGUAAUAGAUUGGUGUGUCUUGGUGGUGGCAAGGACACACCCAAGAAACACCCACAU